GCGCAGGGAUGUCGGGCGCGCC
rnacentral:miRNA from 1 species